GGUUGAGUAUAUAUGUUAUUUUAUCUAUGUCAUUUAAAUUUAUAAAGUGGAUGAGUAUUCUCAUUUCUCAAAAAAUCAAAAUAAGCUUUUCUAUUAUUAUGGUUUCUUUUACAAUAUAAAAAGAAAUGAAUUUCAUCUUCAAUUUGUUUGAAGUUUUUGCAUAAUCUUUCUUCUCUUGGUAUUUUAAGGUAUCUUCCAUUUUCUAUUAAAUUAUGGUCGCUUAAGGGGGCUCGCGGGUCUAAAUCAUUUAAAAAAAUUUAAUAUAGGAUUUCGCUAUAUUUUUCUAUAAAUAAACUUUAUCUUAUACUUAAU
rnacentral:lncRNA from 1 species